UUAGGGAUGGUUUAAUAGGGAAAACACUUGCUUUGCAAGUAUGAGAACCUGACCUUGAUCCCUAAA
rnacentral:tRNA from 1 species